rnacentral:miRNA from 1 species
AGACUGGUUAAUGAUUACAAUGCAUUGUAAAACCUUUAGAAGGAAAGAAGGAUGCUUUGCGGGCCAUUUGGGUUUUUUCGUGUGGCAGUUUUUAAAUUAUUAGUUUUUAAAAUUAG